rnacentral:rRNA from 1 species
UCGUAACCUGCGAAAGCAAAGAAACUCGCGAACACGUAGUUAACACUCGGGGAUCCAAGCGCGUCCUCCCCGGGGGACGCCCUUUCUCCCCAAAKUCGGGGCGGCUCGGUGCUCGUUGCUCGUUGGCGGCGCGCCCGUCGCGAGCUUACGGCCUCCGGGCCUUCCCGACACAACAAAAAACCGGCGCGGAAUGCGCCAAGGAAAAUGAAAGAGAGUGCGCCUGUCCGRCUUCGGCUCGCGCUGCGCUCGGACGGGCGUCGUCUUCUUGAUGAGUUUAUAAUGACUCUCGGCAACGGAUAUCUCGGCUCUUACAUCGAUGAAGAACGUAGCAAAAUGCGAUACUUGGUGUGAAUUGCAGAAUCCCGUGAACCAUCGAGUCUUUGAACGCAAGUUGCGCCCGAAUCCAUCUGGUUGAGGGCACGUCUGCCUGGGUGUCACGUACGCACGCCUCCCGCAAACCUUCCCAUUUUUUGUGGACGAAGGGUCUCGCGGGAGCAGAUAUUGGUAUCCCGUGCCCGUUCCGCGCGGCUUGCCUAAAAACGGAGAUCCGGCGGCGAAACGUCACGUCUAGUGGUGGUUGAUGAGGCCUAACGGCCGACCAGUUCGCGGCGUGAUCGUUUGUCGCACGGAAGUCUCGGACGACACCUUGGACGCCCUCUAACGGGCGUGCUACUGUA